UACGUAGGGGGCGAGCGUUGUCCGGAUUUAUUGGGCGUAAAAGGCUUGUAGGUGGCCACGUCAAGUCGGAUGUGAAAUCUCCCGGCUCAACUGGGAGGGGUCAUUCGAUACUGGCGGGCUCGAGGCCGGUAGGGGGAAGCGGAAUUCCCGGUGUAGUGGUGGAAUGCGUAGAUAUCGGGAGGAACACCAGUGGCGAAGGCGGCUUCCUGGACCGGUUCUGACACUGAGGAGCGAAAGCGUGGGGAGCGAACAGG
rnacentral:rRNA from 1 species